UGGGGAAUUUUGGACAAUGGGCGCAAGCCUGAUCCAGCAAUGCCGCGUGCAGGAUGAAGGCCUUCGGGUUGUAAACUGCUUUUGUACGGAACGAAAAGCCCUGGGUUAAUACCCUGGGGUCAUGACGGUACCGUAAGAAUAAGCACCGGCUAACUACGUGCCAGCAGCCGCGGUAAUACGUAGGGUGCGAGCGUUAAUCGGAAUUACUGGGCGUAAAGCGUGCGCAGGCGGUUUUGUAAGACAGAGGUGAAAUCCCCCGGGCUCAACCUGGGAACUGCCUUUGGUGACUGCAAGGGCUAGAGUACGGCAGAGGGGGGAUGGAAUUCCGCGUGUAGCAGUGAAAUGCGUAGAUAUGUGGAGGAACACCGAUGGCGAAGGCAAUCCCCUGGGCCUGUACUGACGCUCAUGCACGAAAGCGUGGGGAGCAAACAGGAUUAGAUACCCUGGUAGUCCACGCCCUAAACGAUGUCAACUGGUUGUUGGGGUCUUUAACUGACUCAGUAACGAAGCUAACGCGUGAAGUUGACCGCCUGGGGAGUACGGCCGCAAGGUUGAAACUUAAAUGAUUGACGGGGUCAUAGCUGUUUCCU
rnacentral:rRNA from 1 species